CUUGUACCUGGAAGCUGGGGUUAACCCUAUGUGUGGACCCUCAGCAAAGCAAGUCUGGUGUUCCUAGGCACCUCAGCAGUCGUCAUCUGAAAUGAAGCACCUCCAUGUGCUGCUGGGCUCACAGCCCUCAGCCCCAGCCACUGCCAGGCAAUAAGCAAUACUUCUUAGAGCAUCGUUUGGUCUGAGUGUACUGUUGAAGAAGCUGCUGGAUCUGUAGAUGGGAUAUUGGUUCAGUGCUUGGGAAACAUCGAUGCUUUCCUUCGCAGCUGACUUUCUCUACAAUCUGGGUUUCCUGUCUGGAGUACUGGAUUCAGCCAUCUGGGAAGUGUUCAGCUUCACAGCCAAAUACAGACCUUGGCUGAAUCAAAUUUCAAGAUGCACAGCAGGGAUCAAAUUUAAAUCGAAAAUGUUGAAUUCUGAACUACUGUAAGAGCAAAGACAGCAAAAGCAGUGGAUCUCUCCCAUCAUCCUAAGCCCACUCUUGUCACACGUAGCUGCAUUGCAGUUGGGGUGAAAAAUGCACUGAUGCAGCACAG
ensembl:lncRNA